AGCAGCACUUGUUUGUCCCUUCUUUCAUUGGUGGCGGGAGAAAGAGGAUCCACCCACUCCCUUAUGCUGAUUUGAGCCUUCCUUGUGAGUUGGCUCCAUUUUUGUUCUUUUAUAUGUGGGUGUACAUACCCGAGGUGAGGAAAUAAGUUCAGAUUACACUAAGGUGGAUCUCUCGAUUAAUAUGCAACUUUUUUAUGAAUAAAAGGUCUGAUAUUCUAGUAAGCUUAUGUGUGAUUUAGUAUAGAAUUAUGCUUUCAAGGUUGUACUAAUAGAUGACCUUCGCCAUUCUCUAAUUUUCCCUAGCAUGGAUUGCCUACUCUACAAGAUAAAGUGCCGGUUUAUGAGGAUAUUUUCCAAAAAGAGUUGUUAGGGUAUGAUGUACUCGAUUGAUCUAUGAGAUGACUUGCUUGGUGGCGAAGGUUUUUUACAUGUGCUCAGAUCUUUUAUUGCUCACUGGGAACAAGCAAUAAAAGAGCUGUACUAGAAUACAAAGGUUCUUGUGUCUCGCGUGUGGCAGUACCGAGGAGGGACCGACGAUGGUCAGCUUGUGCAUACUGGCAUUGUGGUGCUUGACCAAGAGGGCACCCACAUGUAUGGCCAGAUUCAUGCUGACAGCUCAGGCACGGCGGUGCCCAUUCUUGCCUCUUUCCCUACGGGAUCAGCUACACUUGUCGUGCUGCCUCUUGAUGAGAUGAACACUCCUAUAUCUUCAUUCAAAGGAAAAGGGCAGGCUAUUAUGCCUAAAACACCCAGGUCGGUCAAGAAACUGAGCUUAUAGCUACUGAAGGUCCAAAGAACAACCUUCCUGACCACACUAAAUUCAAGAGUAAUGAAGGACAUUCAGGACAAACACUGCUGUCAAGCCAGCUGGCGCUCCAAAGAAAGCGAAGCAGUAGUUCUUCCAUGGACUAGGCUAGAUAUGUACAUACGGUGUAACCGGCGCUUCUUGAGUUCCAUUUUUCCUACAGGUGCGCCAGAUGAUAUGUCGCAAUAUGAUGAUAACUUUGGUUCCUCUUCUUUCUCAGGGUGUCUUCUAUGUUCUGCUUGCUGAAGAGAGCUUCUCAGCUCUGCUGCGUCGCAGCAACGGUCUGGCCAUCGGGUCUGAAGAUCGUCAACUCUACACAAUUUUGGGCGUGCACCAGGUUUAUUUUGUGCAACUUUGUAAGACAAGGCUUUGACACUCGCAUAACUAUGUCGAGCCACUGUCAUGAAAAUUCCUCUAUUUAGGUCAUCGAACAAAUCAAGUACUAUGCAUUGUAAAUAUCGCCGUCAGCCCUUUCUGCCUUAUCUCCCUCCUUAUGACAAUUUCUACCUUCUGUAAAUGCCGUUGGGCCAUGCUGCGUAA